GCUUGUCUCAAAGAUUAAGCCAUGCAUGUCUAAGUAUAAACAACUUUAUACAGUGAAACUGCAGAUGGCUCAUUAAAUCAGUUAUAAUUUAUUUGAUGAUUAACUUUACUACAUGGAUAACCGUAGUAAUUCUAGAGCUAAUACAUGCGAAAAGUCCUGACUUCUUCGUGAGGGAGGGAUGUAUUUAUUAGAUAAAAAACCAAUCCGGCAACGGUGCUUGGUGAUUCAUAAUAACUGUUCGAAGCGCACGGCCUCGCGCCGGCGCUAGUUCAUUCAAAUUUCUGCCCUAUCAGCUUUCGACGGUAGUGUAGUGGACUACCGUGGCGCUAACGGGUGACGGAGAAUUAGGGUUCGGUUCCGGAGAGGGAGCCUGAGAAACGGCUACCACAUCCAAGGAAGGCAGCAGG
rnacentral:rRNA from 1 species